rnacentral:rRNA from 1 species
AGAGAGAGACAUGCGCGCAUAUCAAUAAGCGGAGGAAAAGAAACUAACAAGGAUUCCCUUAGUAACGGCGAGUGAAGCGGGAAGAGCUCAAAUUUGAAAUCUUCAAGGUUUUACCUUGACGAAUUGUAGUUUAAAGAAGUGUUUUCUGCUGAAGUUUUGGUAAAGGUUCUUUAGAAUAGGACAUCAUAGAGGGUGAGAAUCCCGUAUUUGACCAUUAUUUUCAGCUUUGUGAUACACUUUCAAAGAGUCGGAUUGUUUGGGAGUGCAGUCCAAAAUGGGUGGUAAAUUUCAUCUAAAGCUAAAUAUUGGCGAGAGACCGAUAGCGAACAAGUACCGUGAGGGAAAGAUGAAAAGAACUUUGAAAAGAGAGUUAAACAGUACGUGAAAUUGUCAAAAGGGAAGCGUUUGACACCAGUGUUGUUUUCUCGAAAAUCAAUUAAGAAUGGCUCGAUUUUGUAUUGCUUGAGACCUUAAAAGCUCACUGUACAUUUUUCGUGUCUUUUUUAAUGCACUUUUCGUUUAACAAGUCAACAUCAGUUUCUUUUGUUGUAAAAGGGUCAUUGGAAGGUGGCUUUCUUUUCGGAGAAAGUGUUUAUAGCCUUUGACCUCUGCAAUCGGAGAGACUGAGGUCUGCAGCGUAGACUCUUCGGGGUUAGAUACAUUUGUGCUAAGUUAUAGCUUUUUAUAGACAACUUGUUGACUAUAAUUAGUCUUGUAGCUUACUCGCUUAUGCUAUUUUACCUACGCUUAGGAUGUUGAGUCGUAGAGCACGCAG